rnacentral:rRNA from 1 species
GACGAACGCUGGCGGCGUGCUUAAUACAUGCAAGUCGAACGGAAAGGCCCUGCUUUUGUGGGGUGCUCGAGUGGCGAACGGGUGAGUAACACGUGAGUAACCUGCCCCUGACUUUGGGAUAACUUCAGGAAACUGGGGCUCAUACCGCAUAGGAGCUCCUGCUGCAUGGUGGUGGUUGGAAAGUUUCGGCGGUUGGGGAUAGACUCGCGGCUUAUCAGCUUGUUGGUGGGGUAGUGGCUUACCAAGGCUUUGACGGGUAGCCGGCCUGAGAGGGUGACCGGCGACAAUGGGACUGAGGUACGGCCCAGACGCCUACGGGAGGCAGCAGUGGGGAAUAUUGCACAAUGGGCGGAAGCGUGAUGCAGCAGCGCCGCGUGCGGGAUGACGGCCUUCGGGUUGUAAACCGCUUUCGCCUGUGACGAAGCGUGAGUGACGGUAAUGGGUAAAGAAGCACCGGCUAACUACGUG